rnacentral:lncRNA from 1 species
AUGAGGCAAGACAGAAGUAAAUAUCCCCAUGUUACAAGAAAAUGGACACCCCCAAAAGGGGAGUAGUCCCUCAAACUGCACAGCUGGCAGAGCUGGAAUUCUGACUCCAUGUCCAGCUUUCACUCAGCUGGCAUCAGCCCAGGCACCUCUUAGCCCUCAUAUUCCCUUCUCCCCCCGCUGACCCCACUGUGCCUUCAGACACUUUCCAUGCCUUCCCUGGCUCUGAGCCCCAUCUUGGGGGUGAUUAAUAUGAUGUCAUCAAGACUGAGCUCUCAUCCUGGUCACACUGUGAGCCCUAAUCCUGGACUGAUUCCUGAUUCUGGUUGCAGACUGAGCCCCCACCCCUUGCCACUAACUCCCUUAAUAGUGUUUAGAGCCAAACCUAAGAUGGGCCAGGCCUAGAAGACAUGGAUGGCUGAGUUCUGUGCCUCUCCAGGAGCAGGGUUGGUGUAGCUGCAGCCUGGCUAAAUGCUCUGGCAUGGUUUCCCUCCAUCCUGGACUAGACUCAAAGCCACAGCCUGUGCCCAGUCCAUUUCUGUCCCCUCCCACUGCUCUUCCUUGUGUGGGUGGGGGAUUGUGGGGCCCAUGGUACAUGUUGAGCAGAGAUUGUCUGAUGAGUCAUCCUUGCUCAAAACAAAGGAGUCUGGCAUGGACAGUACUUCUGGCUUCUCUGCUGCAAGGGAAUAACCUCUCCAACCCAAAUGUUCAAGUACAACCUUGACCUGGCUGUUUCACACCUUGGGCUCUUCAUUCCCCUCCCUCACCACGUCAGCUUUUCUUCAACAUGAUUUCUCGGAGUUGCCAGAAAACGGGCUUGUUGCAGCUUUUGCCCUGCUUUUAGUACUGGCACCUCCUGUAGGAUCAGUUGGAAGGCAAGGCUGACUUCUAACCACUCGUGUCUCUUAUCCAUGCCAGGAGAGGUGGAAGGUCAGGGAAUGGGCACUGGCAGAUGCUACGUCUGGAGAAGUUGGAGGGAAGAAGAUAAGGGAUGGUAGGGGUCAUGAUCUUGGUAUAUCAUUGAGUCAUAAAAUGUCAGAGCAGCCGGGAUGCUGAAAGACUUCCCCUCCUGCCACUGUGUCAGACAGAUGGAGAAACGAGGUCCCUGGCAGAGGCAGAGGAACAUUCCCAAGAUCCUACAGUAACUUGAUCAGAUUGGGGGUCAAAGUGUGGAUUCUUUGUGCUGAAGAUCAGCCUUGGGCAGAGGGGGCAGGUUCCAUGGCCCUAAAGCCAGAAGAGGACUCCUAGAGAAGGCCCAGGAAGAUAGAAGGAGGGGCUCCAGGGAAGGAGGACCUGGGAGUUUUCCAGCCCUGGGACCUCUGGUUGGAGGGAAGUAAGGUUCCAGUUCCUCAUCAUCAGAUACAUAGCAAGCACAGCCUGGGUCAGAAUAUGGGGAUGUGCCCAGCCAUACAGUGGGGGGGAGCUUGCUUGCUCUCUUGGCCAUGUUUUGCUUUGUGGGGGUUAGAACCAGUUGUGUUCCCCACAAUCCUGGGGUUCCUUUGCUUGACCUAAGAGUCUGCUCUCCUUGCUGAACCCUCAAGGCCCAAAACAGCUCACUUGAGCAAUUCUGCAGCUGCCUCUGGCUGGUCACAGGCCAUGGGAGAUGUAAGAGACAUCUGGACCCAUAGUAAGAGUAUGUAUUUGAGGAGGAAACUUGGGAGAGGGCCACCCUGGUGGGGGUUGCUUAUGGGAGCAGACUGGCUCAGAGAAAAUCACGGCAGGGGUGGGAAGCCUGUCCCUCCUCCAAGCCAAGGGUCUGGGCUGCAGGUUUAGGGUGGCAGGGGGCACUUGGGCUCUUGCCUCAGUGCUGCUACCUGGUGCCUACAUCAAAGACUGCUUUGGCAGCCUCUGGGCUGUGUCACCCUGGGGGCCAUCAUUUCCCCACCUAGUUCAUUUACAUGUCUCUCUGCCGCUAGGCUGGCAACUCUUUGAAAGCCAGAUAUUGCAGGGUGGGUUCUUUGGGAAACAGACUGUGACUCGAGGUUUAUCAUGUUGGAUGUUCUUUAGGGAGAGCUCUUGAGAUGGAUGCCUGUAGAAGGGAGGGGGAAGAGGCAGAACUGGGCAAAGGGAGAAGUUGAGCUAUAAUGCAGGCCCCAACCUAGCCUUGGAUGCCUCAAUGGAAGGUCUGGAGUGGAAUGGCCCAUCACAUUCCCACACUGGGUUGAAAUAGCUGGGCCUUUAUACCCCAAAUGGAUUGAUCUUUGCAUAUAGAUCUCCCAGAGCAGGACAUGACCUCAAGUAAAGCAAGUAUCUGCCACUGAAGCACCUGGAGGGGCUGACAGCCCACAGAACUCCUGCUGGUGUUCUCCUGCCCACAGAACUCCAGAGUGGGCAUCCCCUCUCUGUCUACCUUGCUGGUUUCAGUUCCCUUUUGAGGAAUGCUAGUUCAAGGAAUUAAUAGAUUGCUUUGAAAGAAGCCCCUAAAAUAUUUUGGCCUCAUUCUCCCUAUCUCUUAAAUGGGCAUAUCUUCUACAUUUAGGUUAUAAAAGGCAAAGCUCUUUAUAAACACCACACCCCGGAGUUCCUGUCGUGGCGCAAUGGUUAACGAAUCUGACUAGGAACCAUGAGGUUGCAGGUUUGAUCCCUUGCCUUGCUCAAUGGGUUAAGGAUCUGGCGUUGCCGUGAGCUGUGGUGUAGGUUGCAGAUUCAGCUUGGAUCCCUCGUUGCCGUGGCUCUGGUGUAGGCUGGCAGCUGCAGCUCUGAUUAGACCCCUAGCCUGAGAACCUCCAUAUGCCACAGGAGUGGCCCUAGAAAAGGCAAAAAGACAAAAAUAUAUAUAUAUAUAUAUGUAAACACCACACCCCAUGGAUGUAUGAAGCCUCCCUUCAGUUCUCUUUCAGUUGACCCUGCACUGAAAGGUAUUGGGAGCACUGAAGGUAUUGGGGGGAGUGGAGGGUAGGUGGGGUGGACGUGGCAGUUUGUGGUUGAUACUUUAGGGGAAACCACAGCUGCCUCUUAUUCAGGGCUGUCAGUGAGGCCAGGGGAGGGGAUGUUCACAUGCCGGAUGGGCCGUGGGCACUGAGUCACCACCCAGAGGAAAACCACAGCUUCAAAAGCCCCAAGGCGCAAGGAAGGGUGGCAGAUGAGCUGGAUGAGAGCCAGGCCUCAGGAGCGGGGAUUUGGACAGCCUCCUUACCUCAAGGGCUAGUCCUGUUCCAGCUUGCAGGGCAGCACCUACCAUAUGCCAUUAGAAAGGCUGGCUUGGUCACACAUCUCUGUGCAGCAGAACAGAGCAAGAGCUGGUUGAUCCUGGAAAAGAACCAAGCCUCUCUGGUGUCUAGUUCCCCACUCCCUGGGAAAAUGGGGACAAUUCUUGAAUUGGAGAAAAUUCAUCUAAAGUAUCUGAAGACACAUAAUCUGCAACUUUGCUAAUAUGAUAAUUUUACUAUCUUCAUUAUAGUCUAGAGUGGCUGCUAUCUGUCACAUUGCAUUCAUCUACUGAUUCCUCAAUAAUUGCAUAGUAAUCCUCCUCAGGCAGUGUUUUCCUUCUUUGUAAGAAGAUGAAAUAUUCUCAAUUCUCAUCUUAUGCAAUGAAAGCUAAAAUAAGGAAAGAUGAUGUCUCCAUACUUCUUUACACCUUCUUGAAAGAUGUCUAAUGCUUUGGAAAAAACAAUUAAAAAACUAAAGGAUGGUGGAAUAGUAAUGAUUUGUGUCACUAUUGAAUCAUUCUCCAGGCAAUUUCAUCAUUCUUCUGUUUUCUUAUUACUUUUUGAAAAUUUAUUUAUUUAUUUAUUUAUUGCUUUUUGGGGUCACACUCACAGCAUGUGGAGGUUGCCAGACUCGGUGUCAAACUGGAGCUGUAGCCACCGGCCUACACCACAGCCACAGCAGUGGCAGAUCUGAGCCACGUCUGUGACCUACACCACAGCUCACUGUAAUGCUGGAUCCUCAACCCUCUCAACGAGGCCAGAGAUCGAACUCGCAUCCUCAUGGAUGCUCGUCAGAUUCGUUUCUGCUAAGCAUGGGAAACUCCUGUUUUCUUAUUAUUUUAAACACUUUUAAACAUUUAUCUUUAUUUUUUAUUAUAGUUGAUUUACACUGUUCUGUCAAUUUCUGUUGCACAGCAAACUGACCCAGUCAUACAUCCAUAUACAUUCUUUUUUUCACAUUAUCCUCCAUCAUGUUCCAUCACCAAAUGAUCAGAUACAGUUCCUUGUGCUGUACAGCAGAAUCUCAUUGCUUAUCCAUUCCAAAUGCAAUAGUUUGCAUCUAGGAACCCCAAACUCCCAGUCCCUCCCCUUCCCUCUUGGCAACCACAAGUCUGUUCUCCAUGUCCAUGAGUUUGCUUCUUUUCUGUAGGUGGAUUAAAGUCUAGAUAUGUGAUAUCAUGUGGUUUUUGUUUUUCUCCUUCUUACUUACUUCACUUAGUGUGAGAGUCUCUAGUUCCAUCCAUGUUGCUGCAAAUGGCAUUAUUUUUUUCUCCUUUAUGGCUGAGUAGUAUUCCAUUGUGUAUAUGUACCACAUCUUCUUAAUCCAUUCGUCUGUCAUUGGACAUUUAGGUUACUUCCAUGUCUUGGCUAUUGUGAAUAGUGUUGCAGUGAACAUAGGGUGCAUGUAUCUUUUUCAAUUAAAGCUUUGUCUGAAUAUAUGCCCAGGAGUGGGAUUGCUGGAUUAUGUGGUAGUUCUAUAUUUAGCUUUCUGAGGUACCUCCAUACUGUUUUCCAUAGUGGUUGUACCAAUUUACAUUCCCACCAACAGUGUAGGAGGAUUCCUUAUUUUAGACUCUUUCUAAAGCAUGAUUAAGAGUAAUUAACAUGUAAUUAUGGAAAAUAGUUCCUAGGAGGAUUAAACAGCAAAUAUUCUAAGAUCUAAGAAAAAGAAGAUUAUUAAAGGUCAUGAUAUAUUUUUGGAUUUGUAAAGGAUCCAAUGGAUUGAUAUGAUAAUUUUAAGAUAGAAUAAGCUUCAUUCGAUUGAAAAAUAAUUGGGGUUCCCAUCAUGGCUCAGUGGUAACGAAACUGACUAGUAUCCAUGAGGUCGCAUUUUUGAUCCCUGGCCCCACUCAGUGAGUUAAGGAUCUGGUGUUGCUGAAAGCUAUGGUGUAGGUUGCAUAUAUGGCUUGGAUCUCACAUUGCUGUGGCUGUGGUGUAAGCCAGAAGCUGCACUCCGAUUAGACCCCUCGCCUGGAAACUUCCAUAUGACACGGAAGCAGACCAAGAAAUGGCAAAAAGACAAAAAAAAAAAAAAAAAAAAAAAAAGUGCUGAAAGAACAAACCCUGCUGAUCUACAAUUCUAUGCCCAGCAAAAUAUCCUUCAAAAAUGAAGGCAAAAUGAAUGUGUUCAAAUGGACAGAAGUUGAAAGAAUUUGGUUUGUUGCUAGUAUACACUGGUGCUACAGGAAAUUACUAGGACAGUUCUUUAGGCUGAAGGAAAAGAUUCCCUGAUAGAACUACAGAAGGGAAUGAAGGACAGAGCAAAAGUAAAAAUGUAUAUAAUUAUAUGUGAAUAUUGACUGUUUAAACAACAAUAAUAUUUCACAAGAUUUUUAACAUAGAGGUAAAUAUAUUCCAACAAUAGCACCAAAGUGGGAGUUAACUGUUCUAAGAUAAUUUGCAUAACUACUAACUGUAAAAGUACUAGUUUAAGGUAAAUUAAGUACCUUAAAUAAAUCAAGGAUACAGGAGUUCCCGUCGUGGCUCAGUAGUUAACGAAUCCGACUAGGAACCAUGAGGUUGUGGGUUCAAUCCCUGGCCUUGCUCAGUGGAUUAAGGAUCCGGCAUUGCCAUGAGCUGUGGUGUAGGUUGCAGACUCGGCUCAGAUCCCACCUUGCUGUGGCUCUGGCGUAGGCCAGCAGCUACAGCUCCAAUUCGACCCCUAGCCUGGGAACCUCCAUAUGCUGAGAGAGCGGCCCUAGAAAAGGCAAAAAGACAAAAAUAAAUAAAUAAGAAUAAAAAAUUAAAAAAAAUCAAGGAUGCAUAUUGUAGUCUCUAGGAUGACCACUAAAAUCAUAAUAAAAGAAGGUGCAAUGAAAAAGCUAAUAAUAGAGCAAAAUGAAAUAGUAAAAAUUAAAAAAAAUUUUAAAUUAGCUGAAAGGAAAGUGUAAAAGGAGGAAUAAAAUUACAAAGGCUAAAUAGAAAACAAAUAACAAGGUAAAUCCAACUAUACUAGUAAUUAUAAUUAAUGUAAAUAAUAUAAAUAUGUCAAUUAAAAGACAAGGGUUAUCAGACUAGAUGAAAAACAAAAUCCAAACCUGAUGUUUAUAGAAGACUCACUUUAUUGUUUUUGUUUUUCACAUUUUUCAAAUUAUAGUUGCUUUACAAUAUUGUGCCAAUUUCUGCUGUACAGCAAAGUGACCCAGUCAUANNNNNNNNNNNNNNNNNNNNNNNNNNNNNNNNNNNNNNNNNNNNUAAGGCAGCACCUGUGGCACAUGGAAGUUCCCAGGCUAGGGGUUAAAUCAGAGCUGUAGCUGCUUGCCUACAGCCACAGCAAUGCCAGAUCCAAGCUGUGUCUGAGACCUACACCACAGUUCACGGCAAUGCCAUAUCCUUAACCCACUGAGCCACAAUGGGAACUCCUGCUUAUAUUUUUCUUAGUCUGUGAGUUUAAACAAAAAUUAUCUACUGUAGUCUUGGAGGGCUAUUUAUAUGCAGAAACGUCCCUGAUAGCUUGUGAGGGCGAACUAUACUUUUGGCUGCUUUUAGUUUGGAUGCUUGCUGUCUCUUUCCUCAGUGAGUGCAGGCCGUUAUCCCUUGAUGGGGUGUAAAGGUAUAUGGACUGCUUGUGCUUCCAGGGAGGUGGGGGCAAUGGGUGGCACCUGCAGGUGGUGCCUAGUUGCUGGGACCUUGCCAGUAGCCACACUCUAUGGGGAGGCGGGGUGGUGCCCAGAACCCUUGCAGUGGCCACAGGGGGCAUAUGUAAUCCCAGGGAGGUGAGGGCAGCAGGUGGCACUCUGGGGCCCUCCACGGCAGCAACACCUGAGGUGACUGGGGCUGCAGGCCCGUGCCUGGUCAUGGGACCCUCAGUGGUGGCAGGCCUCACCCACCUCUGGAGUCUGAGAUUGCCACAGCAGUUUGCACCCACCCUAGUAACAUGUGCAGGAGGCACCUGCCACAUGAGAGCUCUCAUGUGUGCAGAGAAAGAAGUUCCUAUGGUGGUCCUGUUCCCCUCUCCCCUCGUGCUCACCAGCAAUGAGGCCUUGCUGCUCUGGCAGGCCCAGGCCUCCUCCUGCACUGCCUCAGCUGUGGUGCACCACUCCCUAGUCCUUUCAGGCUGUUUCCACACAGCCAACCCCAGUGCUCCCCACAGAAGUGACCUCCAUAGCCCAAGUCUCAGCACUCAGCCCCCGUCUGAGUGUCUCGGCUGUGGUUUCCCAGGCGGCGUUACUGGUGCUCUCUCUGCUUUGCCCUCCUCAGACCAAUUGCUGUGCUUUUCUCUGAGGCCUUGAGGCUCCUUCUCAUCCCAGCUGACCUCCCUGUCAGUUAGGUGGCCUCCCAGGGGACAGACUCCUUUCCUCUUUCACAGCUCCCUCUCAGGAGUGCUGGUUCCAACCUGAUUCCUUGUUUUCUCUUCUCUCUCUCUCUCUCUUUUUUUUCUCCUUUUGUUCUACCCAGUUAUGUGGAGCUUUUCUUGUCCUUUUUGGAAGUCAGAGGUCUUCUCCCAGCAUUCAGUAGAUGUUCUGUGCAAGUCAUUCUACAUUUAGGUGUUUUUUUUUUUUAUUAUUUGUUUGUAGGAGAAGGUAAAUGCCAACGUCCUACACCUCUGCCAUCUUUUUAAAAAUUUUAUUUAUUUAUUUAUUUUUUGAUCACAUCUGUAGUUGUAUAAUGAUCAUAACAAUCCAAUUUCACAGGAUUUCCAUCCCACAACCCAAGAACAUCCCCCCACCCCCCAAAAUGUCUCCUCUGGAGACUAAAUUUUUCAGUGUAUGUGAGUCAGCAUCUGUUCUGCAAAGAAGUUCAGUCUGUCCUUUUUUUCAAAUUCCGCAUGUCAGUGAAAGCAUUUGAUGUUGGUGUCUCAUUGUAUGGCUGACUUCACUUAGCAUGAUAAUUUCUAGGUCCAUCCAUGUUGCUAAAAAUGCUGGUAUUUCAUUCCUUUUAAUGGCUGAGUAAUAUUCCAUUGUGUAUAUGUACCAUAUCUUCUUGAUCCACUCCCCUGUCGAUGGACAUUUCGGUUGUUUCCAUGUCUUGGCUAUUGAACAUAAUGCUGCAAUGAACAUUGGAGUACAUGUGUCUUUGUGAGUCAUGGUUUUCUCUGGGUAGAUGCCCAGGAGUGGGAUUGCUGGAUCAAAUGGUAGUUCUAUUUUUAGUUUUCUGAGGCAUCUCCAUACAGUUUUCCACAGUGGUUGCACCAAUUUACAAUCCCACCAACAGUGUGAUAGGGUUCCUUUUUCUCCGCACCCUCUCCAGCACUUACUGUUUGUAGACUUUUGGAUGAUGGCCAUUCUGGCUGGUGUAAGGUGGUACCUCAUUGUGGUUUUGAUUUGCAUUUCUCUAAUAAUGAGUGAUGUUAAACAUCUUUUCAUGUGUUUUCUGGCCAUCUGUAUGUCUUCUUUGGAGAACUGUCUGUUUAGAUCUUCUGCCCAUUUUUUGAUGGGGUUGUUUGUUUUUUUGGUAUGGAGCUGCAGAAGGUGUUUAUAAAUUUUGGAGAUUAAUCCCUUGUCAGUUGAUUGAUUUGCAAAGAUUUUCUUCCAUUCUGUGGGUUGUCUUUUUGUUUUGUUUAGGGUUUCUUUUGCUGUGCAGAAACUUUUAGGUUUGAUUAGGUCCCAUUUGUUUAUUUUUGUUUUUAUUGUCAUGACUCUAAGAGGUGGAUCUGAGAAGAUGUUGCUGUCGUUUAAGUCAGAGAGUGUUUGGCCUAUGUUUUCCUCUAAGAGUUUUAUAGUGUCUGGUCUUAUAUCUAGGUGUUUAAUCCAUUUUGAGUGUAUUUUUGUGUAUGGUGUUAGGGAGUGUUCUAAUUUCAUUCUUUUCCAUGUGGCUGUCCAGUUUUCCGAGCACCACUUAUUGAACAGGCUGUCUUUUCUACACUCUGCCAUCUUGAUCCCUCCUCACAGAAAUCUCACUUUAUUUUUUUUAAUGAUUAUUUUUUUUUAGGAAGCUUACUUUAAAUAGAAGGAUACAGAAGGGUGAAAGUCAAAGGUUAGAAAGCAAUGUCAUAUAAAUAUUAACCCCUAAAAAGCUGAUAUGGACACAUGAACACUGGAAAUUUUAAGUUAAGAUGUAUUAUAAGUUCCUGUCGUGGCGCAGCAGAAACAAAUCUGACUAAGAACCAUGAGGUUGUGGGUUCAAUUCCUGACCUCGAUCAGUGGGUUAAGGAUCCAGUGUUGCCGUGAGAUGUGGUGUGGGUCACAGACGCAUCUUGGCUAUAGUCCUGAUUGGACCCCUGGCCUGGGAACCUCCAUAUGCCAUGGGUGUGCCCCUAAAAGGACAAAAGGCAAAAAAAAAAAAAAAAAAA